rnacentral:rRNA from 15 species
GGGUGCGAUAAUGCCAGCACUAAAGCACCGGAUCCCAUCAGAACUCCGAAGUUAAGCGUGCUUCAGAGAGAGUAGUACUAGGAUGGGUGACCCCCUGGGAAGUCCUCGUGUUGCACUCC